GGGGUGUGCACUCAAAGGCAAACAUGAGCGCGGACAACUCGACCCUGCUGGAGCGCUUGUUCUCUCCGCCCCUCUGCGACGGCUGGAGCAACAGCACGGAGGGAGGCCUCUACCACCUGGGCCACACCAUGCUGAUCCUGGGCUACAUGGGGGGCAGCGGCCCCUACGGGUGCCUCUUCAUCUUCGGCUUCCUGGUCCCCGCCCACGCCUGCCUGGCUCUGUGGGGCUGGAUGACGGUGUGCAGCGCCGACGCCUUCACCUGGAACCUGCUGCUGCUGCUGGCCUGCCUGGCCCAGAUCGGCCACCUGCUGUGGCGGCUGCGCCGGGAGGGGCUCCGCGGCGAGGAGCUCACCUGCCUCUACCGGGCGGUGUACCUGCCGCUGGGCGUGCCCGUCCAGGUCUUCAAAGGGAUCGCCGGCGCCUUUGAGAACAAGGUCGUGGAGCUGAAGGCGGGAGAGACGUACGCCGUGGAGGGCAAGACGCCCAUCGACCAGCUCUCCUUCCUGCUGUCUGGGAGGAUCAGUGUAUCUUUGGAGGGCCAGUUCCUGCAUUACAUCCACCGCCACCAGUUCCUCGACUCCCCGGAGUGGGAGUCCCUCAGGCCGACCGAGGAGGGAAAGUUCCAGGUGACCUUGACGGCGGAGGAGGACUCCCGCUACGUCUCGUGGCGGCGCCGGCGCCUGUACCAGGCCAUCUCUAAGGACCGCUACGUCGCCCGCGUCUUCUCUGUCAUGCUGGGCUACGACAUCGCAGAGAAGCUCUACAACCUCAACAGCAAGCUCUACAUCAAGAGCGGCAUGCUGCUGGACAUUCGCCUGCCCAGCCUCUACCACGUGCUGGCCCCCUCCUCACAGGGCAGCGGCAGCGGCAGCGAGGGCGGCAUCGGCAGCGAGGGCGGCAUCGGCAAGGAGCACAUGGAGGCCGGAGACCCGGCGCCAGCCUACCAGGUGUCCGACAUGGCCCAGUUUCAGCCCCACCCUCAGGGACCAAGGAACCCCUCAUCGGACCCACCCCGGGCCCACCAGGACCCCUGGGCGUCGGAGCCCGAUAUGCCCGCCGGUGAGGACUCCACCAGCCUGGUCCUGGAGGACUUUGCCGAUGUGGCGGGCUCCUUAACGGACUACGGCAGUGAGAGGGAUUAUUUGAGGUAGAGGGGCACGGUGCUGCGGCUAACACACGGGGGUCACCACUCGCGCUACAAGAAGUGAUGUCGACGUGGAUCGACCACCUCGGUUCCAGCGGGGCAGAGCGCCGCUAGCUCCCACCGACACCCCCAAACUGUGACCCCAGUCCCUCCAUUGUCCACGGCGAGGCAGCACCAACGUGUCACGUGUCACAUGUCACGUGACGCCGUGUCACGUGUCAAGUGUCACCAUCUCAAGCCCAACGCCAAGCUCUGAAAUCUGCCUCAAAAUCGUGGAGACAGCGGGACCCGACACGUUUACUCAUUUAAAGUAAAACAUCCACAUAACAGAUAUUUGAACCAAUAAAAGGCUUCGUAUGGUGUGUGUGUGCUAUCAGAGAAUAACAUCUGUCCGAUUAAAGAUGGAUACUUGCAGAUAAACCGCGUCCAGCAUUUAAUAAAUUAGUAGUAGUAAAAUCUGAAUUAAAUCCUACUUAAGUCGCAACGCAACACCGAGGACAGACGGCCGGGCUGAAAUUUUAAUAUUUUAUGGCAUUAAAUCAGAUUCAGUGAUACGGAUGAAUUUGUUUUUUAUCUUUUUUAUAGUUGAUGAUAAAACAAAUUACACAAAUUACACAAUUUUUUGAAUUUGUUUAAUUUACAACAUUUUAUAGCUCUGACUGAUUGAAUGUGUGCUUUUAAAUCGGCUCGUCUUCAUAAGAAGGGCAAUAUUUGUUUUUUUGAGAUUUUAAGAUUUAAUUUCCCCCAUUUUACUUUCAUAUUUAUUUGGUUUAUCUGAUUGCACCGUGACUUGAUGCCAUCUGGAGCCAAUCCUCAAACUUCAUCUUUGCCGAUAUAUUUUACACCGUAUAGACCGUGUUUAUUUUAAAUGUUUGUACCUAUUUGAGUAUUUCAUACACACAUGUAAACUGUGAAUUGGUUUAUUUGUCCUGUUAUUGUUCAAUUCAGAGGCGACUAAAGGGGGAGAGGUUUUUAAGAAGUAUUUUCAUGGGGCCAAGAUUUCUCUAUAAAGCUCUUUGUGUGCAGUGAAAAGGUG